GUUUAGGUUUAAGUCUAGUGAGAUUAGCGGGCGUUUGAUGGUGCUGGGUUGAGCGAAUAUCUGUAGACUAGUUGUGACACAACCGUCCUGUGGCACAAGGCCUUCAAAAGACUUCGGCCAAGAUGGCAAAGGGCCAAGAACAUGGAAAAUUGGUAAUUGCCUUGCAUCACUGCAAACUAUAUGGUAAAGGAAGUCUUGAGCAGAAAUGAUAAUAAAAGACUUGAACAUCCCUGGAAACUCUAAAUUCUGAAUAUAAAUUCAUCAAAUUCUUUUAUAGAUCUUAUUGUGGAAACCCAAAAGUUAUAUGUCACCAUUGCCUUUUUAAUCACUUUUUUGGUUUUUAAUGUCAAAUACCAAACCAUCUCUAAAUAUUUUUUCAUUAUAUAGACGGCAAUGUAAUCCUAAACACUAAGAAUUUGGCCUGAAAACUUGAAAUAUUAUAGAGGGAUCAUCAAUAACUAAUAGUAAAAGUCGAUAAUUAUAAAAAAUGUAUUAUUGUAGGAUGAAAUCAACCUUUAUUUUUAAAAGUUUAGUGAACAUUUCGAAUGUCAAUGCCUCU